rnacentral:rRNA from 1 species
AUUGAACGCUGGCGGCAUGCCUUACACAUGCAAGUCGAACGGUAACAGGUUAAGCUGACGAGUGGCGAACGGGUGAGUAAUGUAUCGGAACGUGCCCAGUCGUGGGGAAUAACUGCUCGAGAGAGCAGCUAAUACCGCAUACGACCUGUGGGUGAAAGCGGGGGAUCGCAAGACCUCGCGCGAUUGGAGCGGCCGAUAUCAGAUUAGGUAGUUGGUGGGGUAAAGGCCUACCAAGCCGACGAUCUGUGGCUGGUCUGAGAGGACGACCAGCCACACUGGGACUGAGACACGGCCCAGACUCCUACGGGAGGCAGCAGUGGGGAAUUUUGGACAAUGGACGCAAGUCUGAUCCAGCCAUGCCGCGUGCGGGAAGAAGGCCUUCGGGUUGUAAACCGCUUUUGUCAGGGAAGAAACGCUCUGGGUUAAUACCUCGGGGUAAUGACGGUACCUGAAGAAUAAGCACCGGCUAACUACGUGCCAGCCGCCGCAGUAA